rnacentral:lncRNA from 1 species
AUGAGGCUGCUGGAGAGAAUGAGGAAAGAAUGGUUCAUGAUUGGAAUAGUACUGGCGAUCGCGGGAGCAAAGCUGGAGCCGUCCAUAGGGGUGAAUGGGGGACCACUGAAACCAGAAAUAACUGUCUCCUACAUUGCUGUCGCAACAAUAUUCUUUAACAGCGGACUAUCAUUAAAAACAGAGGUUGCAGACAGUAGGUUGCAUGCCUCCGCCUGUGUCUUCUGCGGUGAUAUUAACCAAGGCAGUUGGUGGAAACGA